rnacentral:rRNA from 1 species
UACGUAGGGUGCAAGCGUUGUCCGGAAUUAUUGGGCGUAAAGAGCUCGUAGGCGGUCUGUCGCGUCGGCUGUGAAAACUCGGGGCUCAACUCCGAGCUUGCAGUCGAUACGGGCAGGCUAGAGUUCGGCAGGGGAGACUGGAAUUCCUGGUGUAGCGGUGAAAUGCGCAGAUAUCAGGAGGAACACCAAUGGCGAAGGCAGCUCGCUGGGACGUGACUGACGCUGAGACGCGAAAGCGUGGGGAGCAAACAGG